rnacentral:rRNA from 1 species
GACGAACGCUGGCGGCGUGCUUAACACAUGCAAGUCGAACGGAAAGGCCCUUCGGUUUCCUCGAGUGGCGAACGGGUGAGUAACACGUGGAUGAUCUGCCCUGCACUUUGUGAUAAGCCUGGGAAACUGGGUCUAAUACCGAAUAGGACCGCGCGCUUCUUGGCGGCUGGUGGCAAUCUUGUGCGGUGUGGGCUGGGUCCGCGGCCGAUCAGCUUGUUGGUGGGGUAAUGGCCUACCAAGGCGACGACGGGUAGCCGGCCUGAGAGGGUGACCGGCGACAAUGGGACUGAGAUACGGCCCAGACUCCUACGGGAGGCAACAGUGGGGAAUAUGGCACAAUGGGCGCAAGCCUGAGGCAGCGACGCCGCGUGCGGGAUGACGGCUUUCGGGUUGUAAACAUCUGUCUCCAGGGACGAAGCGGAAGUGACGGUACCUGGAGAAGAAGCACCGGCUAACUACGUG